UAGUCCGGACUGCAGAGAUCCGGUCAGUUUCUUGGCGAGCACGUAGUCGCCCCGCUGCUCCAGAACCGAAAGCUUGUCGCCCUCCCGGACCGUCAGCUCGUGGUCGCCGCGGGCCUCGAAGUCGAAGAGUGCCGCGUACAGUUGCACCGGCCUCUUCUUGGGCGACGGCGCGCGGACGUCGCCCGACACCGUCCGGAUCUCGGCGGCCCGCGCGCCCGGGUUGGCGAUGACGUGGUUGGGCACGCUCGGGUAGCGGAAGGUGGGCCAGACGCGGUCCCACAGGCGCUUGAAGCACGGCAGGCACGAGCGGCAGCAGCCCUCCAUGACCUCCGGGCCGCCCACGAGCAGCCCACGAGCAGCGCACCAGCAGCCGCCCCGCGGUGCUCUCCUCCUGCGCGGCCGUCGGGACCGAGCAUUGUUCCGGCCCGGCAGCGGAUAAGCCGGACCGACCGGUUUUUGCUUGUUGUUUUUUUCGCAUUAGCAAUGCGGAAGCGGAAACGGAGGAGGACAUCCGAGGUGCUUCGUGAACGCGCGUCCUUUCAAGAGCUUCGCCUUCGAAACCUGACAGCGAGGAGGAGCAGGAGCUUAAGGUCCAUCGAGAAGAGACGGAGGAGGUCCGAAGAGACGUGACGACCACGUUAGCGUGGGAGGCGUCCGAGGUGCAUAAGAAGUAGCAGGAAGGGCAGCGGGGAAAAGUGCUUCUAUGUACAAGCCGGCAUGUUAGGGGAGAGGGUGUCCCAACACAAAGUCGCUCUUCCUCCGAGGCUCACGCUGAUUGCCAGAAGACCGGGGUAACCUCUCUAAGUGCUCGCCAAGGAUUUCACACUUUUGCCACAUUUUCUCCCAGACGCUUCCGGCAAAGGCUGAAUAUGUGUGUGAGUGUGUGCGUAUGUGCGUGCGCUCUUCAGUUCUGCUGCAAGAUGAGGUUCUCCAGCUCGUCGGCGGAGCGCAGCAGGAAGGCCGCCGAUUCCCGGUAUCCGGCGACCAGCUGACGCACGGCCGCGAUCUCCGGUUGGCUGAGUUGGGCCAAGGCCCCGCCCGCGCCCCGCCCGCCCAGACAAUGGUUGGCGGCGGCGGCCAUGUUGGCGGACGAGUGCGACUUCAUGCUGAGGUCUGUGGGGCCUGAUGAGGAAGACGAGACAAUUCAUUAAUUGAAACAGCUUGGCAGCGGUGGGAGCUAACAAAGUGUCAAAAUGGACUCAUUGCUUCCCCCCCGUGUCCGAACAUGUGGGAGAGAGAAAAAAAAAAAAAAAGGCGGCAGCAACACGGAAGAAUGUGAUCACACAAGCUCCGCCUCCCGCCAUCCUCACCAUUGCUCUGAGCGGCGGCGCCAGUCGUCAGGGAAACGGGAUGCUGCACGGCAGCGCCCAGAUAUCCACGGUAACCGUAGCUGAGGCCGGCGCCGUUGAUGUAGACCUGCGGCUCCUGGUUGGAGAAGGCGGACGCGGCCAGCGAGUAGGCCGAGGGAACGAGUGACGCCGGCUCCCUCAGAGCGCCGCCGCCGGACGGUUUAUCCAGUGAGUUCGGCUCAUCCUGGAAGCGCCCAACACAAAGUUCACGUUGGCUUCUCUUGUUAACAACAAAAGAAAAAUCAUGUUCACUUUGACCUCAAACUUUUUGGGAUUCAGGCACAACUUUGUCUUUAAACGAUCAGAUUUCACAUUCGUCCUCACAGGUUCAGAGCGCUGGCCCUUGAUGAUGUCAGCACUUUUAUCUGCACACCUUAGUAACAUUUGGUGAGUAUGUGGCAUUUUAUUUAAAGGACCUAUAUUUAGUUUCUUUAUAUAUUUUUUUUGCUCAAGAAGAUGACCUCUUGCCAUCAACUUCUUAAACAGUUAACUUACAAUUCCUUUGCAACAAAUGCAUCUAACCUCAAUAUUUUCUAUCGUUAUUGUCUAAAAAAAAACAAAAAACAUCUAGACUAGACUUUCAAUAUAGGCGACAAAACGUGCAAUCGUGGUGACUCACGUGAUAGGCGUCCAGGCGCAUCCUCUUGGCGGCGUUGCGUGAUUCGCUCUCGCAGGCGGCGGCCAGGAUGUUCUCCGCCAUGGCGGAGGUGAGGUGCGGCGGAGUGGGCCGGGUCUGCGGGGCAAACCGUGUCGUGAAGGACCGCAGUUCACCACCGGAGGGCAGAAGAAAUGUUUGCGAUUAGCAUUCACUUGCAGCACUUAUUCAGUACAACCAGGCACUCUAGUAGUGUAGUCAUCUGUUUUGUAGAGUAGUUUUUGUAGACUUAAUACAAAAAAAGGAAAAAUCUGAAUAAAAUUGGAGAAAAACAAAGGAUAACAAUUGAAAAAAAUCUGCAAAUAAUUGAAUCCACAGGUGGCGAAGCGCUAGUAUGCAGGGAGGUCCACUAUUUGAGUAAGUCAAAAAGCGGUACCUCCAUGCCGUUCCUCUUCAUGCGUCGGCAGGAUUUGAGGUAGGUGCGAAUGCGCUUGCGGGCGCGUUCUUGGAAUUCCGGGAAUUGUCUGCUGCAGGACUCGAUGAUGGCCUGGAUCUUUUCUUUGGGCUGCUUGGAGAUGGGAACCAUUCGGUCUAAGUUCUCGUCCACAAACAGACGCACGAACAUCUGGAGGAGCACAGCACACGACAGACGGCGUCGUUAUCGCUCGCGGAGGAGGCCCGUGGCCGCGCCCACUCACGUUGAAGGCCUUCAGCCGCUCCGGGUCCACGCCCUCCGCGUCGUUGAUCUUGUCGCUGUCGUCGUGCUCGUCGUGCUCGUCGUCGUCGUCGUCGGGGGCGGCGGGGCCCCCGAGACGGCCGGCGCUCAGGUCAUCGGCGCUGGCCUCCAUCUUGAUGCUGUCGUAGCUGCCGCCAGAACUGUACACGGGAGACUACGCUCACACACACACACGCACAAAUGCGUAAGUAACAUCCUGUUAAAUGUUGGAACCCCGCAAUCGGUGAGUGAUCGGGACCGGGACGGACCGCGAAACACCACGGACGAUUCAUGCCCAUUACAACUGCAUUGGAUUUUUUAAUUAUUUUUUUUAAAUGCCAAAAUUCUUGAUUUCCCCCGAAGAAGACAAUACAAUUAAAUAAUUUGGAGAAAAUGGGAAGAAAAAUGAUUCAAUUGGAAAAAAUAAUAAUAAUCUGCGAAUAGGUGCGUGCGCAGGUGCUGAAUCGCAAGUAUGCAGGGGUCCACUGUACUCGCCUCGAAAUGAGAAAUGAGUCCAGUCAUUGGUUUCAAGAAAGUACCGUGUUCUCGACUGAGAGACGAGCUUUGUAUGUCGGGGAGGAGCUAAGCUCAGCCUGGGUCGUUAGUGGAAGUCAUCGAGAGCCUUUGGCGCAUGAACAUGUGAACUUUGUGUAUUUUCUCAAAAUAAAAUCUUCUGCGAGCGAUUCAUUUUUAAGGGUAACGUUAUCCCAUGAGUUUGAAAGUCUUUCAACUGUUUUAGGAUCAUAGUUUUGGGUAUAUUUACACAUUUAAAAAAUAUAUAUAUAUAUAUCAAAUAUGGGUAAUUCUAAACAGUGUGGCGUCAAUUGCUCGUGGUUUCAUUAGUGAUGCACCGAAAUGAAAAUUCUUGACAGAAACUGAAAACCAAAACUGGAGACCCCAAAACCAAAAGGGAUUAUCAAUCAAACUGAAUUUAUAAGCGCUUUUCAUACCAAAAACAAAAAACAAAAAAACCCCAUUACAUUCACAUUAAUCUAAAUAUAAAAAUAAAGGAAACCAGCCACUUAUUAAUGAUAAAACUACGCCAUUCAUUAGUAAAAUUGUGUUUAUCGUUAUGACUGCAGAGUCACCAACCGAUAUACAUUCACUUCCAGAACCAUUUGUUUGAAUUUCCAUACUUUUAAAAUUAUGUCAAGAACAUUACCAUGGGCCAAUUAUUACUAUAUGUUAUAAAGUAAGAUCAAAAUAAUAAUGAUAACAAUGCAUGACAUUUAUAAAGCGCUUUUCUCGACCCUCAAAGAUGUUUGACAUUGUCAUGCAUUAUUCAUUCACUCCUCAGUCACACCCUGGUGGUGCUCAGCUACAUGUGCCGCCACAGCUGCCCUGCAGGGGGCAGUCUGACGGAAGCGCAAAAUUCGUCAUUGUGGGACUGAUGAAGGUUAUCGUCGCCUCUAAAUAUUGAUGAUAUUAAUGUACUUUGAAAUGUAUGGGGCCCUUUUCCUCAAGAGCGGUGACGGACCAAUCCGUUUCGGGUUUGCGGAAACAAUAAUACACUGAAUACACUGUUUACGUGAUCGUAUACUUCAGUAUUUGCUGUUACAGACACAUUCUCAUUUGCCUGAUGUUUUGCUCUUCAAAGUUGGCUAAUGUCCGCGAUAACGCGGUUUCAGUCAGACCUAUGGGACAAGUGGACUGUACCACCCAAUCGCUUAUUUGGGUGUUUUGCCACCGGGGGAAGGCCACCCGCUUGCCAGAAUUCAUUGCGACAUGCCCAUUUGAAUGAUUGCCGGAAUGAAGAUGUUCAUUUUUGUUGUGAAUGUGUGUUUAUGUUCCCACUAAUUG